GUCGAACGGUAGAGCGGAGCUUGCGUCCGGCUGACGAGUGGCGCACGGGUGGGUAACGCGUAUACAAUCUACCUUGUACAGGGGUAUAGCCUUUAGAAAUGAAGAAUAAUCCCCCAUAAUAUCUUAUUAGUGGCAUCGUUAAAAGAUUAAAGCUUCGGUGGUAAGAGAUGAGUAUGCGUUCUAUUAGCUAGUAGGUGAGGUAACGGCUCACCUAGGCGACGAUAGAUAGGGGCCCUGAGAGGGGGAUCCCCCACACUGGUACUGAGACACGGACCAGACUCCUACGGGAGGCAGCAGUGAGGAAUAUUGGACAAUGGGCGCAAGCCUGAUCCAGCCAUGCCGCGUGCAGGAAGACUGCCCUAUGGGUUGUAAACUGCUUUUAUAUAGGAAGAAACCAUUCUACGUGUAGAGUGCUGACGGUACUAUAAGAAUAAGCAUCGGCUAACUCCGUGCCAGCAGCCGCGGUAAUACUGAGGAUGCAAGCGUUAUCCGGAAUCAUUGGGUUUAAAGGGUCCGUAGGUGGAUAGAUAAGUCAGAGGUGAAAUCCUGCAGCUCAACUGGAGAAUUGCCUUUG
rnacentral:rRNA from 1 species